UGUCUAACGUAAUUUUUAGAUGGCCUCUUAAACGUAUUAUAAUAAGUCGUAACAUUUAACAUUAUAAAAUAAAAAUAAAUUAUCCAUUAUAUACCUGCAAUUGCACAAUAGCAAUAGAAAUUUUAAUCAUAAAAAAUUAAUUUCUUUUCGCAAUCUGGGUGAAAGGGAACUCAAACCAAAGUUAGUAUUGCACUAAAAAUGAAUCAACUAAGAAGUUUCGUUUUUGUCGCGCUUGUCAUUUUCUCAAUUUGGCAAACAUGUUAUUCUCACUUGAUUCUUCGUUCUGAUAGAGAACUUCAAUUUGGAUGUGACCGUUAUGAUAAUGAAAAAUAUUCUACAUGUUCUGAUCACUAUCAGGAAUCUUGUUUCGUUGCAAAAAAGGGCCAUAGCAACAUUGUACCGCAUUGUUCUGAGGGUUGUUUUUGUAAACUAGGAUAUUAUAGGUCAGCUUCUGGCUGCGUGUUGUUUGAGGAUUGUGAUGAAUGGAAUCCUCGUCCUAUAAGAACACUUUAUCCAUAAAAUUGAAAAUGGUCGAUUAUUGUUGACUUAAAAUAAAGAAUUAUGUAAUAAUAAUAGUAGAAUAUUUUAGUUAUUCGUAAUAAAAAUAAAAAUAAUUUGAAACAGGG